rnacentral:rRNA from 1 species
CCUACGGGGGGCAGCAGUGGGGAAUAUUGGACAAUGGGCGAAAGCCUGAUCCAGCCAUGCCGCGUGUGUGAAGAAGGCCUUCGGGUUGUAAAGCACUUUCAGUGGGGAAGAAAGCCUUGGGGCUAAUACCCUCGAGGAAGGACAUCACCCACAGAAGAAGCACCGGCUAACUCCGUGCCAGCAGCCGCGGUAAUACGGAGGGUGCGAGCGUUAAUCGGAAUUACUGGGCGUAAAGCGCGCGUAGGCGGUCUGAUAAGCCGGUUGUGAAAGCCCCGGGCUCAACCUGGGAACGGCAUCCGGAACUGUCAGGCUAGAGUGCAGGAGAGGAAGGUAGAAUUCCCGGUGUAGCGGUGAAAUGCGUAGGGAUCGGUAGGAAUACCAGUGGCGAAGGCGGCCUUCUGGACUGACACUGACGCUGAGGUGCGAAAGCGUGGGUAGCAAACAGGAUUAGAUACCCUAGUAGUC